UCAAACUCCGAUGCACUAAUUG
rnacentral:siRNA from 1 species